GAAAGAUCUCCCAUGCUCAUGGAUUGGCAGGAUUAAUUUAGUAAAAAUUGCCAUUUUACCAAAAGCAAUCUACAGAUUCAAUGCAAUCCCCAUCAAAAUACCAAUGCAAUUCUUCAAAGAGUUAGACAGAACAAUUUGCAAAUUCAUCUGGAAUAACAAAAAACCCAGGAUAGCUAAAGCUAUCCUCAACAAUAAAAGGACUUCAGGGGGAAUCACUAUCCCUGAACUCAAGCAGUAUUACAGAGCAAUAGUGAUAAAAACUGCAUGGUAUUGGUACAGAGACAGACAGAUAGACCAAUGGAAUAGAAUUGAAGACCCAGAAAUG
rnacentral:lncRNA from 1 species